UACAGAGGGGGCAAGCGUUGUUCGGAAUUACUGGGCGUAAAGGGCGCGUAGGCGGCCUGCUAAGUCGAACGUGAAAUCCCCGGGCUCAACCCGGGAACUGCGUCCGAUACUGGCAGGCUUGAAUCCGGGAGAGGGAUGCGGAAUUCCAGGUGCAGCGGUGAAAUGCGUAGAUAUCGGGAGGAACAUCAGUGGCGAAGGCGGCUACCUGGCCCAAUACUGACACUCAGGUGCGACAGCGUGGGGAGCAAACAGG
rnacentral:rRNA from 1 species